GAAAUUCAUCCCUUCACGGUUGUUUGCUCACUGGUAAAAUGGGGAUAAUAAUAACCAUACUACCUCACAUGACUGUUGUGGGGAGACGCUUUGUGAACCUUAAAGAAUCAUGGAAAUGAAGUGUCUUACUUGGACAUGAAACUGACAUUGAGGCUUGAAGGGAGGUAGAGAGUCCAAGAAGCAGAGAUGAAGAAGGAUGCCAUUCCAAGCAUGGGGGACAACUUAUGCAAUGUCAGGAAGGUGACAUGGAAAUCUGCAUGUGGAACAUUGUGUAGGAGAAAAAAUUAUUCCCAAAGAGCUGCUUCCUCCUGUAAGAAAUACUUCGUAAAUCUACUCCUUCAACAAGACAACUCAAGGUAUUUUUGAUUUUUUUUUUAAGAUUUAAAAAAUAUACACCCAUGUGUGAUCGCCCAGUAAAAUACUAAAACCAGCUCAACUGAGGGAGCCCAGCUUUGCAAUUGCUAAAUUGCCCAAGCAGUGGUUUUGAGGUUUAUGACAUCAGCAGAGUUUCAAGACUGAAUUAUUGUCCUCUUGUCACCAGGGGGAUCAUUCUGCACACAUAACUGUUUGAAUGGAGGCAGAAAGACCCUUAUUCAAACCUCCCUUAGCUUUCUGCUUGGCUUGUUGUUGGCAUGUCUGCAGGUAAGAACAACAGCAGAGAGGGAAUUGAGUGAGUUGGUGCUGCCAAGAAGAAAGAAGGGGGCCCAAAGAGCAAAAAUCUUAUAAUUACACCAUCUGGCAGAAGGGAAAUUUACCUAAGGUCCUGAAAAAGAGGGAAUGAGGCUUCACUAAGGAGUUCCUUCUGGGAUGAUGUUGAAAUGAGAUAUGGAAAAAAAGUGAAUCAAUGAACAGGACUUAAUACACCAGAUUUAUGUAUGCUGUCAGUUUCUAGGAAAUGUCAUUAUUGUCACUUUUCUGCCUCAAGCCACUGCCUCUAGCUUCUGGGAAUAAGGCUAAAAUAUGUUCUACUUGGCGAUAUUUAUUUCUCACCUUUCAUCCUUCUUUUCCUCCUCCCACAAAAAAUCUCAUCCUUACUACUAUCCAUUCACCAUCCCCAAUUCUUAAAUCUUAAGAGUACUGAUCUUGCUUUUAUUUCCUUGUAGUUUCUGUUUUUUUUAAAGGCAUGUGACAAAGAUUCAUUUUUACAAUAUUACAUUUUAGGUGGCUUUCCAUAUCACAGAGACAGCUGAGAAAUCAAUGUCAGGCUGAAAUCCAGGCAAGCACCCAGGCUUAAAUAAGCUUGGAGGCAAAGGAUGCAAUACUGCUGCUUUUGUAAACAGGCUGUGUAGUGACCAAAUGAUAGAUGACUUUGAUUCAUGUAUGCAGUGCAUAGGAUAGGCAGCACGCCCCUUCCUCCAAGUGAAUU
rnacentral:lncRNA from 1 species